GUGUGACGAUAGGUUGGGUUAGGUUAGUUUUUACGGGGACGCGGGGGGCAUAGCUCCCCGCUUGUCAUUCGAUAUUGUAGUAUUUACUGCACUAGUACAGAAAAGACAACUCUACGAACAGACUUUACGUUGCAAUGACAGGUUUUCUAACCUAUCAUACCAAGCAUCUUUAACAAUUAAUUUCUCGGUUUGUAGAGCCGAGCGACGAUUUUAACUUUCAGAUUCGACGUCUACGCAUCGAAAUACAUAAGAUAGACUUCAUUCCAUAUUUAACGAUGUUGCCAAAAUGGUUCCACUGCAAAGAAUUAUACAAACAUGAAUGAUAUCAUGACGUAUUAAAACUGAAACAUUAAAAUUAUACAAUUGUAUACAAUAAUAAUCUAUUAAUUUAUAAAUACAUAUAUAUUCACACA